rfam:Gossypium hirsutum cultivar TM-1 unplaced genomic scaffold scaffold190.1, whole genome shotgun sequence
UAUUAAAAAUGUCAUCUAUUUUUACUGUUAAAAAUUGAAGUACUUAAUGAAAUAACUAAACAAUUACAUGUGAUAUAUCACGUGUAUCUCAUGUUGACGUAAAGGGACCGGUUUUUAACACUAAAAAUAGACGAAAUUUUUAACA